AGGUACUAUUCAGUGUGUGAACCUUAUGACCAAAGACUGAAGUUCUCCACCAGAAGCCCCGAUCCCUCCAUAGUGCUAUUUUCCUGAGGAGAUACAAGA
rnacentral:snoRNA from 1 species